GAUUAACGCUGGCGGCGUGCAUAACACAUGCAAGUCGAACGAUGAAACUCAUUAGAUUUCUUCGGAAUGAAAAUGAAUGGAUUAGUGGCGAACGGGUGAGUAACGCGUGAGUAACCUGCCUUACACAAGGGGAUAGCCUCUGGAAACGGAGAAUAAUACCCUAUGAAACCAGACAAUCGCAUGAUAAUCUGGUCAAAAUGUUUAGUGGUGUAAGAUGGACUUGCGUCUGAUUAGCUAGUUGGUGAGAUAAAAGCUCACCAAGGCAACGAUCAGUAGCCGGCUUGAGAGAGUGUACGGCCACAUUGGGACUGAGACACGGCCCAGACUCCUACGGGAGGCAGCAGUGGGGAAUUUUGCACAAUGGGGUAAACCCUGAUGCAGCGACGCCGCGUGAUUGAGAAGGCCUUCGGGUUGUAAAAAUCUUUUGUAUAGGAAGAAAAUGACAGUACUAUACGAAUAAGGUCCGGCUAAUUACGUG
rnacentral:rRNA from 1 species